GGCCCUACGGGAGGCAGCAGUGGGGAAUAUUGCACAAUGGGGGAAACCCUGAUGCAGCGACGCCGCGUGAGUGAGGAAGUAUUUCGGUAUGUAAAGCUCUAUCAGCAGGGAAGAAAAUGACGGUACCUGACUAAGAAGCCCCGGCUAACUACGUGCCAGCAGCCGCGGUAAUACGUAGGGGGCGAGCGUUAUCCGGAUUCACUGGGUGUAAAGGGAGCGUAGACGGCCAUGCAAGCCAGGGGUGAAAGCCCG
rnacentral:rRNA from 1 species